CCUCGAGGACGAGGCCUCUGCUGCCCGCGCGGCCAACGACGAUCGGGCUGCCCAACUCCAGCAGGAGGCGGCCCUCCUCAAGUCCGCCGCCGCCGCCCAGGAUCGGGUUCGCGCCGCCGCUGACGCCCUCUCCAAGGAGCGCGCGGAGGCCGACGCCCUGGAAGCGCAGGCGGCCGAAAUCCGCGAAAGACUUCGUCUGGAGGCCCAGCGCGACACUGAGGAGGAGGAAGACGAGCGCUCUGUCUCCUCUGAGGCCACUGCUAUCACGCACCUGCACAAUCAGGCCUGCGCGGUGCAGAACGUCAAGUACCUCAUUCCCAUCGUCCUCGACCUCAAAUCCCCUCACUACUCCAAGUGGCGUGGGUACCUCCUCCUCGCCCUCGGCAGGUACUCUCUGAAGGAUCACGUUCUCAGCGAUGAGUCCCGCCCCACCGAUCCUGCCUGGUAUCGCAUGGAUUGUGUGGUCGUCUCGUGGAUUUUCAACAGCAUCUCCACCGACCUCCUCGACAUCAUCCACGCGCACGACGGCGUCACUGCUCGGGUGGCCUGGCUUGGGAUUGCGGAGCAAUUUCUGGGCAACCGCGAGUCCAGGGCGCUACUCCUUGAUGCUGAAUUCCGCAAUCUCUCCCAGGGCGAACUCUCUGUUGAUGACUACUGUCGCAAGAUGAAGGGCAUGGCCGACGCCCUUGCUGAUCUCGGUN
rnacentral:lncRNA from 1 species